rnacentral:rRNA from 1 species
GACGAACGCUGGCGGCGUGCUUAACACAUGCAAGUGGAGCGACGAACCGGGGCUUGCCCCGGGGCAAAGCCGCGAACGGGUGAGUAACACGUGGGUAACCUACCCCGACGACCGGGACAACCCGAGGAAACUCGGGCUAAUACCGGAUGUGCUCUCCACGCUCAAGCGUGGUGAGUAAAGGAAGCUUCGGCCUCCGCAUCGGGAGGGGCCCGCGGCCCAUUAGCUUGUUGGUGAGGUAACGGCUCACCAAGGCGACGAUGGGUAGCUGGUCUGAGAGGACGAUCAGCCACACUGGGACUGAGACACGGCCCAGACUCCUACGGGAGGCAGCAGUGGGGAAUCUUGCGCAAUGCGCGAAAGCGUGACGCAGCAACGCCGCGUGGGGGAAGAAGGCCUUCGGGUUGUAAACCCCUUUCAGGAGGGACGAAGGUGCGGCGGCGAAUAGCCGUCCGUACUGACGGUACCUCCACAAGAAGCCCCGGCUAACUACGUGCCAGCCGCCGCCGUAACAC